rnacentral:rRNA from 1 species
CCUACGGGAGGCAGCAGUGAGGAAUAUUGGUCAAUGGGCGGGAGCCUGAACCAGCCAAGUCGCGUGAGGGAAGACGGUCCUAUGUAUUGUACACCUCUUUUGUCGGGGGGCAAAAGCCGCCACGCGUGGCGUUACGAGAGUACCCGAAGAAAAAGCAUCGGCUAACUCCGUGCCAGCAGCCGCGGUAAUACGGAGGAUGCGAGCGUUAUCCGGAGUUAUUGGGUUUAAAGGGUGCGCAGGCGGAAGAUCAAGUCAGCGGUAAAAUGGCGGGGCUCAACCCCUUCCGGCCGUUGAAACUGGUUUGCUCGAGUGAGCGAGAAGUAUGCGGAAUUCGUGGUGUAGCGGUGAAAUGCAUAGAUAUCACGCAGAACCCCGAUUGCGAAGGCAGCAUACCGGCGCUCAACUGACGCUCAGGCACGAAAGUGUGGGUAUCGAACAGGAUUAGAUACCCGAGUAGUC